rnacentral:rRNA from 1 species
AACGAACGCUGGCGGCAUGCCUAACACAUGCAAGUCGAACGAGACCUUCGGGUCUAGUGGCGCACGGGUGCGUAACGCGUGGGAAUCUGCCCUUAGGUUCGGAAUAAACUUCGGGAAACUGAAGCUAAUACCGGAUGAUGACGUAAGUCCAAAGAUUUAUCGCCUAAGGAUGAGCCCGCGUUGGAUUAGCUAGUUGGUGAGGUAAAGGCUCACCAAGGCGACGAUCCAUAGCUGGUCUGAGAGGAUGAUCAGCCACACUGGGACUGAGACACGGCCCAGACUCCUACGGGAGGCAGCAGUGGGAAUUUUGGACAAUGGGCGCAAGCCUGAUCCAGCAAUGCCGCGUGCAGGAUGAAGGCCUUCGGUUGGUUAAACUGCUUUGUUACGGAACGAAACGGUGAGCUCUAAUACAGUUUGCUAAUGACGGUACCGUAAGAAUAAGCACCGGCUAACUACGUAGCCAGCAG